rnacentral:rRNA from 1 species
GGUUAAGCGACUAAGCGUACACGGUGGAUGCCCUGGCAGUCAGAGGCGAUGAAGGACGUGCUAAUCUGCGAUAAGCGUCGGUAAGGUGAUAUGAACCGUUAUAACCGGCGAUUUCCGAAUGGGGAAACCCAGUGUGUUUCGACACACUAUCAUUAACUGAAUCCAUAGGUUAAUGAGGCGAACCGGGGGAACUGAAACAUCUAAGUACCCCGAGGAAAAGAAAUCAACCGAGAUUCCCCCAGUAGCGGCGAGCGAACGGGGAGCAGCCCAGAGCCUGAAUCAGUGUGUGUGUUAGUGGAAGCGUCUGGAAAGGCGCGCGAUACAGGGUGACAGCCCCGUACACAAAAAUGCACAUGCUGUGAGCUCGAUGAGUAGGGCGGGACACGUGGUAUCCUGUCUGAAUAUGGGGGGACCAUCCUCCAAGGCUAAAUACUCCUGACUGACCGAUAGUGAACCAGUACCGUGAGGGAAAGGCGAAAAGAACCCCGGCGAGGGGAGUGAAAAAGAACCUGAAACCGUGUACGUACAAGCAGUGGGAGCACGCUUAGGCGUGUGACUGCGUACCUUUUGUAUAAUGGGUCAGCGACUUAUAUUCUGUAGCAAGGUUAACCGAAUAGGGGAGCCGAAGGGAAACCGAGUCUUAACUGGGCGUUAAGUUGCAGGGUAUAGACCCGAAACCCGGUGAUCUAGCCAUGGGCAGGUUGAAGGUUGGGUAACACUAACUGGAGGACCGAACCGACUAAUGUUGAAAAAUUAGCGGAUGACUUGUGGCUGGGGGUGAAAGGCCAAUCAAACCGGGAGAUAGCUGGUUCUCCCCGAAAGCUAUUUAGGUAGCGCCUCGUGAAUUCAUCUCCGGGGGUAGAGCACUGUUUCGGCAAGGGGGUCAUCCCGACUUACCAACCCGAUGCAAACUGCGAAUACCGGAGAAUGUUAUCACGGGAGACACACGGCGGGUGCUAACGUCCGUCGUGAAGAGGGAAACAACCCAGACCGCCAGCUAAGGUCCCAAAGUCAUGGUUAAGUGGGAAACGAUGUGGGAAGGCCCAGACAGCCAGGAUGUUGGCUUAGAAGCAGCCAUCAUUUAAAGAAAGCGUAAUAGCUCACUGGUCGAGUCGGCCUGCGCGGAAGAUGUAACGGGGCUAAACCAUGCACCGAAGCUGCGGCAGCGACGCUUAUGCGUUGUUGGGUAGGGGAGCGUUCUGUAAGCCUGCGAAGGUGUGCUGUGAGGCAUGCUGGAGGUAUCAGAAGUGCGAAUGCUGACAUAAGUAACGAUAAAGCGGGUGAAAAGCCCGCUCGCCGGAAGACCAAGGGUUCCUGUCCAACGUUAAUCGGGGCAGGGUGAGUCGACCCCUAAGGCGAGGCCGAAAGGCGUAGUCGAUGGGAAACAGGUUAAUAUUCCUGUACUUGGUGUUACUGCGAAGGGGGGACGGAGAAGGCUAUGUUGGCCGGGCGACGGUUGUCCCGGUUUAAGCGUGUAGGCUGGUUUUCCAGGCAAAUCCGGAAAAUCAAGGCUGAGGCGUGAUGACGAGGCACUACGGUGCUGAAGCAACAAAUGCCCUGCUUCCAGGAAAAGCCUCUAAGCAUCAGGUAACAUCAAAUCGUACCCCAAACCGACACAGGUGGUCAGGUAGAGAAUACCAAGGCGCUUGAGAGAACUCGGGUGAAGGAACUAGGCAAAAUGGUGCCGUAACUUCGGGAGAAGGCACGCUGAUAUGUAGGUGAAGCGACUUGCUCGUGGAGCUGAAAUCAGUCGAAGAUACCAGCUGGCUGCAACUGUUUAUUAAAAACACAGCACUGUGCAAACACGAAAGUGGACGUAUACGGUGUGACGCCUGCCCGGUGCCGGAAGGUUAAUUGAUGGGGUUAGCGCAAGCGAAGCUCUUGAUCGAAGCCCCGGUAAACGGCGGCCGUAACUAUAACGGUCCUAAGGUAGCGAAAUUCCUUGUCGGGUAAGUUCCGACCUGCACGAAUGGCGUAAUGAUGGCCAGGCUGUCUCCACCCGAGACUCAGUGAAAUUGAACUCGCUGUGAAGAUGCAGUGUACCCGCGGCAAGACGGAAAGACCCCGUGAACCUUUACUAUAGCUUGACACUGAACAUUGAGCCUUGAUGUGUAGGAUAGGUGGGAGGCUUAGAAGUGUGGACGCCAGUCUGCAUGGAGCCGACCUUGAAAUACCACCCUUUAAUGUUUGAUGUUCUAACGUUGACCCGUAAUCCGGGUUGCGGACAGUGUCUGGUGGGUAGUUUGACUGGGGCGGUCUCCUCCUAAAGAGUAACGGAGGAGCACGAAGGUUGGCUAAUCCUGGUCGGACAUCAGGAGGUUAGUGCAAUGGCAUAAGCCAGCUUGACUGCGAGCGUGACGGCGCGAGCAGGUGCGAAAGCAGGUCAUAGUGAUCCGGUGGUUCUGAAUGGAAGGGCCAUCGCUCAACGGAUAAAAGGUACUCCGGGGAUAACAGGCUGAUACCGCCCAAGAGUUCAUAUCGACGGCGGUGUUUGGCACCUCGAUGUCGGCUCAUCACAUCCUGGGGCUGAAGUAGGUCCCAAGGGUAUGGCUGUUCGCCAUUUAAAGUGGUACGCGAGCUGGGUUUAGAACGUCGUGAGACAGUUCGGUCCCUAUCUGCCGUGGGCGCUGGAGAACUGAGGGGGCUGCUCCUAGUACGAGAGGACCGGAGUGGACGCAUCACUGGUGUUCGGGUUGUCAUGCCAAUGGCACUGCCCGGUAGCUAAAUGCGGAAGAGAUAAGUGCUGAAAGCAUCUAAGCACGAAACUUGCCCCGAGAUGAGUUCUCCCUGACCCUUUAAGGGUCCUGAAGGAACGUUGAAGACGACGACGUUGAUAGGCCGGGUGUGUAAGCGCAGCGAUGCGUUGAGCUAACCGGUACUAAUGAACCGUGAGGCUUAACCUU